GUGGGUCCCCGAGUCUUGGCGAGACGGUCAAGGAUGGACCUGGGAUGGAGACCGGCGUGCAGCCACGUCCCUGGGGGAAGGCGGGGCGCAGGCUGGGACAGAGUACCUUUUAACCACCUCCUUGGCCAAGCUACGAAAAGCCACCUUUGCCCCAGCUCCUACAGCAGCCCGGAGACCACCCUGGGCCGGAGCCCAGCAUGACCACCAUUGCAUCUUGGCUCUCAAGCUCGGGACAGGAGGUGGGGAGCAGAGCCUGGCCCCAGCCUGAGGCCCCCUGAACCCGGUGCAUGCCCCUCUGCACAAGCUCCUGCUGGCCCGCUCGCAGCCUGCCUGGCCUUCUGGGCCCCAACCCAGCGGAGCGGCAUGACGGUGCCCAUGCCCAUCAUACAGGAGGAUGGCAGCCCAGAGAGCACAGAGGGCCUGUGGUCCAGUGGGUUGGGGUCCACGCUGGACCGGAGGGGGUCAGGCCCUCCUCACCCUGAGGGGCGUGCCAGACACCACCCAGGCCAAGUGAGGGGCCUGAGACUGGAACAGAGAUGAAUGAGUAGCCCUGCGUCUCUAGAAGGUUCUUCCAUAUCUUUUCUUGGCCUCCUGGGACGAGGCCCCCUUCGCCAGGGCACCCACCUCUAGCCAUGGGUAGAACACUUGCCUCUGGUCCCCAAUUUCCAGGGCCCUGCUCUCAGCCUGGCAAGGGGGGUGCUGGCCCAGUUCGGGAGACAACUGCCUUUCCAGAGCCCCUUCCCCUUCCCUGUUCCCCAUAUUGUCCGAAGGUGCCCCAGUCUGGGGGAAGCCGUGAGGAGACAAUGCGGCCCCAGGACCCUCAGCCCCUCUGUGCACCUCACCCCCAGGCCGCCCCACCGGCCUCUGAAAUGCAGACAUUUGUCUUCUCUGGCUUUGCGUCUGCGCUGGAGAGGACGCCCGCUGCCCUCCUGCCCACUGCCCAGCCUGGCCUGCGUUUGGGCCGCGGGUGGCUAAGGGCCCCCCAGGCACAGUGGGGUACAAAGUGGUGACCUGCCGCGCCUCCCUCAGCAGGAGAGAAAGACUCUGCUGUUUGGCCAGGGGACACUGCGCCACUCUCUCUCGGACCCUUCCAUGGCUGUGUCCUCCCUCCCAAAGAGUGGCCAUCAGAUUCCCUCUCUGGGCCCCUCACUCCCGGCUCCUGGCAACUCUAGCCCUUUUGUUUCCACGCUCGUGACAUGGCCCCUUCCCCGAGGCCCCAAUCCGUCCACCCCCUUUGCUCUCUUCCCAAUCAAUGCGCAUCCUCGUUUUCUAAAGGUCCACUGCUUUGUCCCCACGAA